ensembl:lncRNA
CUGGACAGGGUGCCAAGUCAUCACAGGGCACAAUCGCACAGACGUUCACACACUACCGACAAUUUGGAAAUGCCAAUCCGCCCACAGUGCGUAUCUUUGGACUGGGGGUACCGGAGUACCCGGAGGAAACUCCUGACGCAUGGGGAGAACAUGCAAACUCCACAGCCUCUAGAUUGGGAAACUCUACUAUAGCACAGCGUGCAAAUCCCACCUCUUGCUGCCCUAUACACACCGGCUAAGGCACGAUCUGGCUGAAGGAUGGACUUUGAUGAUGAAGAUGGAGAAGGGCCGAGCAAAUUUUCAAGGUAUGAUGAUGAUCAAAUGCCAGCUGAUAAAGAACGUUAUGCCAGGUAGGGUGACGUGGCACUGCUAGAAUUCUGUCACUGAGACAGAAGUUGAGCCCAGCCAUCGCUUCUUUCCCGGCAAGAAGUCAUGAAAAUGAGCAAGUGAUCUCAGAGAUCGAUUGCUAAAUAUAUAGAUACAGAAAGAUUGAUAAACAUGUCUAUUUAUUUGGGGUGAUACUUUAAUAUAACUUAGAAAUGAGACAGAAUUCAAACCAAGCAUGCAGGAUACCACCAAGAUCCCACGGGAGGCAGCAAAAAUGAGUAGGUGGUCUUUACUUUCAUGCGGCAAUGUUUGAGUCAGUUAUGACGUUUGUGGGUCAAAGUGAUGUAGUGAUGUAGCUGAGGUUGAGGUACUGUUAAAGCCAGAAUUCACAUCUAGC